ensembl:misc_RNA 7SK 7SK RNA
AGAUAUAAAGUCCAUCUGGCUGCAGCACCUGGCACCCACAUAGAUUGCCAGGAUCAAUGCUAACAAUCUGGAUGACCGUGUCUCUUUCUUCCCAACUACUCCAAAUGUAUCCACUCCAGAGUGACACACUCAGUCAAAGUGGAUGACCUUCACCACAAGGAGGACUAGUCAUUGGCCAAGGGUGCAUGAGUAGCUGUGUUCCCUGCUAGAACCUCCAACAAACUCUCAGGUAUUCUCAAGAAUACAGUGCUCCAUCCUGAAGGAAGGGCUUGCUGGUUGUACCCU